GACGUAGGGUGCGAGCGUUGUCCGGAUUUAUUGGGCGUAAAGAGCUCGUAGGCGGCUCGUCGCGUCGUCCGUGAAAACCCGCAGCUUAACUGCGGGCUUGCGGUUGAUACGGGCGGGCUAGAGUUCGGUAGGGGAGACUGGAAUUCCUGGUGUAGCGGUGAAAUGCGCAGAUAUCAGGAGGAACACCAAUAGCGAAGGCAGCUCGCUGGGACGGUAUUGACGCUGAGGCGCGAAAGCGUGGGGAGCAAACAGG
rnacentral:rRNA from 1 species